ACACUCCUACGGGAGGCAGCAGUGAGGAAUAUUGGACAAUGGGUGGAAGCCUGAUCCAGCCAUCCCGCGUGCAGGAAGACGGCCCUAUGGGUUGUAAACUGCUUUUAUCUGGGGAUAAACCUACUUACGUGUAAGUAGCUGAAGGUACCAGAAGAAUAAGCACCGGCUAACUCCGUGCCAGCAGCCGCGGUAAUACGGAGGGUGCAAGCGUUAUCCGGAUUUAUUGGGUUUAAAGGGUCCGUAGGCGGACUGAUAAGUCAGUGGUGAAAUCCGACAGCUUAACUGUCGAACUGCCAUUGAUACUGUUAGUCUUGAGUAAGGUUGAAGUGGCUGGAAUAAGUAGUGUAGCGGUGAAAUGCAUAGAUAUUACUUAGAACACCAAUUGCGAAGGCAGGUCACUAAGUCUUAACUGACGCUGAUGGACGAAAGCGUGGGGAGCGAACAGGAUUAGAAACCCGGGUAGUCCC
rnacentral:rRNA from 1 species